CCUUACAACAACACAUUACAAAAAUCAAAACCCCAAACACCUUCAAAAUCAAAACAGAUAAACAUAGCAUUUUUAAAAUUGAAUUGCUCAGUUUAGAGAGGAAGAUUCUUCUUUCUUAGUUCACAUGUGCCCAAAAACACCACGAUGCAAGGAUGUGAACUGAGGUGGUUCAUUUCAAUGAUGUACCUAGGAACAGAGAUGAGGAACCAGGAAGAUAAACACAAACCAUUACAAGGUACAUUGUACAAGUAGAUUCUCUGUUGAUUUAUUAAAAAUAGCAGCUGAAUGGAAUACCCAAUUGAAAUACAAUCUGGAAGAGGAAUAACAUGUCUUAGAUGGACCUAAAUAAAAUAUUUCAACAAUAACCUGGGAAAAUGCUACUUAAGAAAAAUGAUAAAAAAAAAAAAAAUAAUGCACUGAUGCCCUUCUGCUAAAAUGUAAUAAAUAGGGCUCUUGGAAGAUACUAAUAUAGGGUCAAACAAAAUUUUUCAAAUAUAUAAAUUUAGAAAUAAAAUGAACUUCCAAUUUCAGUGAACCAUACUUUUUUAUUAAUUUAUAUACAUAUUAGUGGUUUAUUUUUACCAGUUUUUCUUUUAGAUGGAAAUGAAUGCACAGAAUCCAUUUUGAUGUUAGAAAGGCAAGUCUCCAGUGAAACUCUGUAUAGUGAAACUAUCCAGAAGCCUGCUCUGUGUUUGAAAGACUUUCUUCUUAGAUUUGUAUCCUCUUUAUCUGAAGAACUUCAGAAAUCAACAAAUACCUAUCAUACGCAGUGAAACCAACACUGAAGAUCUCAGUUUGAAGCACUGGAGCAGGCUGAUCUGAAGGGUUCACCAGGAAGCUGAAGAAAUUCUCAGUUAUAGUAAAUGCCUUGAGUAGACAAAUGUAUGCAUACUUUAUUUGUCCACCAAACUUCGAAGAAGAGAGAAGAAGAAAGAUGUGAAAACAAUGAUGUAACCUAUGAAAAACAGAAAAAGGAAUAUACUAUUUUUAAUAUUUUUAUUUAAGAUUAGAGAUAGAGAAAAUGUACUGCCUCCUCGUGUAUCCAUAAGGAAUGUGAAUUUUUCCUGUACUCUACAGUCUCACUGCAGCCUCUUAAAUUGAUUCUCUAGAAAUGAGGAGGAAUAUGUAAUUGAUUGACAAG
rnacentral:lncRNA from 1 species